AUGCUCACUUCAGUGGCACACAUACCAAAAUCGGAAUGAUACAGAGAAGAUUAACCUGACCCUGGGGCAAGGAUAACACACAAACUCAUGAAAUAUGUAUAUAUAUAU